UACGGGGGGGGUAAGCGUUGUUCGGAAUUACUGGGCGUAAAGGGCUCGUAGGCGGCCAACUAAGUCGGACGUGAAAUCCCUCAGCUUAACUGGGGAACUGCGUCCGAUACUGGAUGGCUUGGAUUUGGGAGAGGGAUGCGGAAUUCCAGGUGUAGCGGUGAAAUGCGUAGAUAUCUGGAGGAACACCGGUGGCGAAGGCGGGUCUCUGGGCCGAUACUGACGCUGAGGAGCGAAAGCAUGGGUAGCGAACAGG
rnacentral:rRNA from 1 species